rnacentral:lncRNA from 1 species
GUUGGAUUAUUUUUUAAAUUUGCUUAUGCUAUUUAUCCUUAGAGACUUGUUAUGCUGUCGAUGAACUGUUUGUCAUUGUUUUCCUCUACAAUACAUAGAUAUAAUAAUACCCAAAUUUACAAGUGAUCAAGUACAGAACUUAUUAUGCUGUUAUGCUAUCGGCCUUGAGAUUAGUUCUGUAAAAGGGAUCAUUUCUGCUCAAUUUGCAACCUUUUUUAAUUUGUGAUUUAAUAUUUCUAUAUUUCUAUCACGAUUUUUAUUAAAUUAUUAAAUAUUAUUGAAAUAUUCUCG